rnacentral:rRNA from 1 species
GAUUUCCGAAUGGGGAAACCCAGUGUGUUUCGACACACUAUCAUUAACUGAAUCCAUAGGUUAAUGAGGCGAACCGGGGGAACUGAAACAUCUAAGUACCCCGAGGAAAAGAAAUCAACCGAGAUUCCCCCAGUAGCGGCGAGCGAACGGGGAGGAGCCCAGAGCCUGAAUCAGUGUGUGUGUUAGUGGAAGCGUCUGGAAAGGCGCGCGAUACAGGGUGACAGCCCCGUACACAAAAAUGCACAUGCUGUGAGCUCGAUGAGUAGGGCGGGACACGUGGUAUCCUGUCUGAAUAUGGGGGGACCAUCCUCCAAGGCUAAAUACUCCUGACUGACCGAUAGUGAACCAGUACCGUGAGGGAAAGGCGAAAAGAACCCCGGCGAGGGGAGUGAAAAAGAACCUGAAACCGUGUACGUACAAGCAGUGGGAGCCUCUUAAUGGGGUGACUGCGUACCUUUUGUAUAAUGGGUCAGCGACUUAUAUUCUGUAGCAAGGUUAACCGAAUAGGGGAGCCGAAGGGAAACCGAGUCUUAACUGGGCGUUAAGUUGCAGGGUAUAGACCCGAAACCCGGUGAUCUAGCCAUGGGCAGGUUGAAGGUUGGGUAACACUAACUGGAGGACCGAACCGACUAAUGUUGAAAAAUUAGCGGAUGACUUGUGGCUGGGGGUGAAAGGCCAAUCAAACCGGGAGAUAGCUGGUUCUCCCCGAAAGCUAUUUAGGUAGCGCCUCGUGAAUUCAUCUCCGGGGGUAGAGCACUGUUUCGGCAAGGGGGUCAUCCCGACUUACCAACCCGAUGCAAACUGCGAAUACCGGAGAAUGUUAUCACGGGAGACACACGGCGGGUGCUAACGUCCGUCGUGAAGAGGGAAACAACCCAGACCGCCAGCUAAGGUCCCAAAGUCAUGGUUAAGUGGGAAACGAUGUGGGAAGGCCCAGACAGCCAGGAUGUUGGCUUAGAAGCAGCCAUCAUUUAAAGAAAGCGUAAUAGCUCACUGGUCGAGUCGGCCUGCGCGGAAGAUGUAACGGGGCUAAACCAUGCACCGAAGCUGCGGCAGCGACACUAUGUGUUGUUGGGUAGGGGAGCGUUCUGUAAGCCUGUGAAGGUGGCCUGUGAGGGUUGCUGGAGGUAUCAGAAGUGCGAAUGCUGACAUAAGUAACGAUAAAGCGGGUGAAAAGCCCGCUCGCCGGAAGACCAAGGGUUCCUGUCCAACGUUAAUCGGGGCAGGGUGAGUCGACCCCUAAGGCGAGGCCGAAAGGCGUAGUCGAUGGGAAACAGGUUAAUAUUCCUGUACUUGGUGUUACUGCGAAGGGGGGACGGAGAAGGCUAUGUUGGCCGGGCGACGGUUGUCCCGGUUUAAGCGUGUAGGCUGGUUUUCCAGGCAAAUCCGGAAAAUCAAGGCUGA